rnacentral:lncRNA from 1 species
GAGGCACUCCUGGCUACGUCGCACCGGAGUGUGUUCAGGAAGGAACAGUGACUGAAAAAUCGGAUGUUUUCGGCUUCGGGGUAUUGCUGCUCGAGAUCAUAACAGGUUGCAGGAGCAGGAAUCUCUCGGAUGAUUUCCUGAAGGACUACCUGUUGGUCAGUGAAAGGGACGAGAAGGCUGUUGCUCACCUCCACCAAGACGACAAGGAAAGAGAGAGAUUGAAGACCGUGGUAAGUUUGUGUGUCCGAGACGAUCCAGACUUACGGCCCUCGAUGAUGAACGUGGUACCAAUGAUGCAAGGAGUUAUUAAGCUUCCUCAGAUCCCCUCGGAGUCGCAGCUCCAGUUCUUCCUCGCUUACAGAUCCAAACUUCAGCUUAGCAGAAGCACAACCUCGGACGUACCUCAGUACAGUUCUAAUAAGUUGCUGGGUUCGUCAACGUCGUUUGGAUUUCUCUCACAAGAGAGCCUGGGUUGUCGAUAAUUGGAUAGUGCUCAGUACCUAUACAAUGAUAUGUAAGUAAUUCAUACCUUGUGCCCAGUAUAUCCGUUACAGUCCACAAGAGUUGUAUAGCAAUCCUAACUUGAAGAAGGAGCUUGCUUCUUCCCGAUCUGGAAAUUUGCAAAGAAAGUAAGAAAACAAACCUGCAACGACUUGCUCAAGAGCUCGUGCUUCGAAAUCGAGCGAGCCAAAGUAAUCAAGCAAAUGGCUAGCCUGCUUUUGACUCAAGUGACACUCUUCUACUGGAACUCAAGUAUACCUUUGAUCGAACUUCUCCAGUUCAGACACAUCCCAUUGGCUUUCACCACGAACAAAAUUUCCCGCCGUUUCUAAAGCGAUUCCUCUCUCACCACAGCUUUCGCUAAACUGGAAAGAAAAGAAAAAAAAGAGAGGGGGAGUCGAAGGAAAACAAAAUCUGUGAGAAGAUUUCUCGUACCUGAUUCCUACGGAUUUCCUUCAACCUGUUAAAGCAUAUCCACAUAAACUCAAGUCAGUCACAAAGCUCGGCUAUAACCAAGUCUAAACGUAUCUGCAAAGACUUGUUCAAAGCGCGUUGGAACAUCCAAGUAUUUGAGCGCCGGAGCCGCAAGAGAGGUCGAGAACUCCAUGGCUACCAAAGGAGAGCUGUGCUUCAUCUUCUCGUCGAUCUUCAUCCUGGGAUUUUCUCGAGCGGAACUGUACUACAGGAAUUUCACCAGUGAAGUAAAUGGUCCCCUGUAUCCGCUUGAUCCAUCCGGCUUGAGUGGCCGCUACACUGAUUUAUGGUCCAACUACACCGACACGGACAUGAGCUUCCAGGUGUGGAUGCUGAGCUAUGACGCCACAACACCAAGAUCGUUCUUCCUGGCACUGGUUGGAAUUCGCAAUCCAAGUAAGCUCUGGGACCUCACAAAACCGGUCGUUCUGUGGAAGGCCCGUCAGACGAGGCUUGUAGGAGAGAAUGCCACUCUAGCAUUCACCACCGAUGGAGAGCUCAAGCUUGAAGAAGAUGGCGACGUUGUCUGGUCCUCCAACACCACAAACAAAGGCGUCCGGUGGCUUGCCAUAUCCGACAGCGCGACCAUAAUGCUCCUGGAUGAAAGUGAAAGCAAUGUCAUCUGGCAAAGUAGCGACGAAC